rnacentral:rRNA from 1 species
GACGAACGCUGGCGGCGUGCUUAACACAUGCAAGUCGAACGGAAAGGCCUGCUUUCCCUUGUGGAUUGCAGGUACUCGAGUGGCGAACGGGUGAGUAACACGUGAGUGAUCUGCCCCCAACUUGGGUAUAAGCCUGGGAAACUGGGUCUAAUUCCCGAUAGGACUGCAGGGUGGUGCCUGUGGUGGAAAACGAUUUUCUAGUGGUUGGGGAUGAGCUCGCGGCCUAUCAGCUUGUUGGUGGGGUAAUGGCCUACCAAGGCGGCGACGGGUAGCCGGCCUGAGAGGGUGGACGGCCACAUUGGGACUGAGAUACGGCCCAGACUCCUACGGGAGGCAGCAGUGGGGAAUAUUGCACAAUGGGCGGAAGCCUGAUGCAGCGACGCCGCGUGGGGGAUGACGGCCUUCGGGUUGUAAACUCCUUUCGACCGCGAGGAAGCCACCUGGUUGGAAGGGUGGUGACGGUAGUGGUAGAAGAAGCACCGGCUAACUACGUG